rnacentral:rRNA from 1 species
UACGUAGGGGGCGAGCGUUGUCCGAAGUUACUGGGCGUAAAGAGCGCGUAGGCGGGUUUUUAAGUGAGGGGUGAAAGGUUCAGGGCUCAACCCGGACACUGCCUUUCAUACUGGAAACCUUGAGUGCGGGAGAGGCGAGUGGAAUGGCUGGUGUAGCGGUGGAAUGCGUAGAUAUCAGUCGGAACACCCAUGGCGAAGGCAGCUCGCUGGCCUGCAACUGACGCUGAGGCGCGAAAGCGUGGGGAGCAAACAG